rnacentral:lncRNA from 1 species
UUUAAUUAAAGCAACUCUGCGACCCUUGAAAUCCCGGAAUACUUCUUCGACAGUACGAGGAUUGUAAGGAGUACCACCGUCCAUGGUUUUAUUUUUUGGAGGUGAAAGUGAAAAAAGUGAAGAGAAUGUGGAUUUGUGGAGGGAAAAAUCGAUGGAAGAAACUGUUUGACCCUUCUCUCUCUCUCUCUCUCUCUUUUUCUUUUUCUCUCUGUUGUGUGUCCAAACAACAACAAACAUGAUUUGAUUUUACUUUAUUACUACCGGAUUUGAAUCGGGAAGAAGUGGAUUGUGUUAACUGGAUUUUAUAAAAGCCCAUCGAGUCCGUCAACCCGGUUACAGUUUUAAGUUUUUAUCUCCUCUUCAUUUUUUUUAGUCAGAUUUUUUAAAAUUAAUUUUUUAAAAAAUGGGAUAUAAUUAACUAUCAUAAUUUUACAUCCACAUUCAAUCAUAAUAAAAUAUGUAAAAUUUGUUUAAAUUUCUUUUUUCAAAAUAUUAUUGUUAAGAAAAAUUAUAAAUAUUUUAACAUAUAAUUAAUAUAUUAAUUAAUAUUACAAAUUUAGUUAUUCAAUAGUACGACACUUAAAAUAAAAUUUAAAAACUAUAAUUGCAUGUGAUGAAAAAUACAAAUCACACAAUCAUCGAUCUAGUUGAUGAGUCACUAGUUGAACAAUUUAACUGUUGACCCAACUGACGUAUAUUAAAAUUUUAAAAUAUAAUCAUGAUAAUAAUAUAUUUUUAAUAAAAGUAUAUAUUUUGUUUUAAACUAAACUAAACAAAUAAAUUUUACAUGAGUUGAAAAUUAAAAAAAAAAAAAAUUAUAGUAGAAAUAGAUUUUUAUUUGACUAAUUUAAUAUAGAAAGUUGAAAAUUAUAACUGUUGUUUUUUUAAAAAAUGUAACUGGUUGAAUUUUAAAAUAAAUAACUUCUACACAGCCUUGAAAUCCCGGAAUACUUCUUCGACAGUACGAGGAUUGUAAGGAGUACCACCGUCCAUGGUUUUAUUUUUUGGAGGUGAAAGUGAAAAAAGUGAAGAGAAUGUGGAUUUGUGGAGGGAAAAAUCGAUGGAAGAAACUGUUUGACCCUUCUCUCUCUCUCUCUCUCUCUUUUUCUUUUUCUCUCUGUU